UAGCUACAGGCUUAACACAUGCAAGUCGAGGGGAAACGACAUCGAAAGCUUGCUUUUGAUGGGCGUCGACCGGCGCACGGGUGAGUAACGCGUAUCCAACCUGCCCACCACUUGGGGAUAACCUUGCGAAAGUAAGACUAAUACCCAAUGAUAUCUCUAGAAGGCAUCUGAAAGAGAUUAAAGAUUUAUCGGUGAUGGAUGGGGAUGCGUCUGAUUAGCUUGUUGGCGGGGUAACGGCCCACCAAGGCAACGAUCAGUAGGGGUUCUGAGAGGAAGGUCCCCCACAUUGGAACUGAGACACGGUCCAAACUCCUACGGGAGGCAGCAGUGAGGAAUAUUGGUCAAUGGACGAGAGUCUGAACCAGCCAAGUAGCGUGCAGGAUGACGGCCCUAUGGGUUGUAAACUGCUUUUAUAAGGGAAUAAAGUGAGAGUCGUGACUCUUUUUGCAUGUACCUUAUGAAUAAGGACCGGCUAAUUCCGUGCCAGCAGCCGCGGUAAUACGGAAGGUCCGGGCGUUAUCCGGAUUUAUUGGGUUUAAAGGGAGCGUAGGCCGGAGAUUAAGCGUGUUGUGAAAUGUAGAUGCUCAACGUCUGCACUGCAGCGCGAACUGGUUUCCUUGAGUACGCACAAAGUGGGCGGAAUUCGUGGUGUAGCGGUGAAAUGCUUAGAUAUCACGAAGAACUCCGAUUGCGAAGGCAGCUCACUGGAGCGCAACUGACGCUGAAGCUCGAAAGUGCGGGUAUCGAACAGGAUUAGAUACCCUGGUAGUCCGCACGGUAAACGAUGGAUGCCCGCUGUUGGUCUGAAUAGGUCAGCGGCCAAGCGAAAGCAUUAAGCAUCCCACCUGGGGAGUACGCCGGCAACGGUGAAACUCAAAGGAAUUGACGGGGGCCCGCACAAGCGGAGGAACAUGUGGUUUAAUUCGAUGAUACGCGAGGAACCUUACCCGGGCUUGAAUUGCAGAGGAAGGAUUUGGAGACAAUGACGCCCUUCGGGGUCUCUGUGAAGGUGCUGCAUGGUUGUCGUCAGCUCGUGCCGUGAGGUGUCGGCUUAAGUGCCAUAACGAGCGCAACCCCUCUCCUUAGUUGCCAUCAGGUUAAGCUGGGCACUCUGGGGACACUGCCACCGUAAGGUG
rnacentral:rRNA from 1 species